CGGCUGCUGAGGAAGCGCAGGCGGCGGCAGACCUGGGCCAGGCGGCCCAAGGCCUGCGCGUCCAGGCUUGCUCCCAAUACUGAGGUUAUAACUGCCGGGUAAAAACCAGAGGAGAAUGCAAGAAGGUUCACUGGAAACUUGAACAGUGCAGAAUGACAAUGGAAACCCAAUGGCAGCGCAAUCUGACAUCCACAUCCAUACUGAAAGAGAUUCAACUCGACCGUGCUGCACUGCUGCGGCCAUGGGAUGCUGUGAAACAAGCCAGACCUAAGUUUCCAACUUGCCCUCUUUUCUGUUGUUGUUGUUAUUGCUGUUUGUUUCCAUUCACCCCCUUUUAUUCUCCAUUUUUUUCUGUCUUGACUCUGAUGGGGGCUCUUUUUGUGCAAAACAAGCCCUUCUGAUCUCUUUGAAAGGCCUGCUCUUGUCAUUCUUCCAGAUCAUCAUUGUAUGACAUGUUUUUAUAUCAGACUGACAAAGGAGCUAUUUGAUCAGGGGGUAUGGUGUGUGAUUGUAAGAAAUUCAGCUAGCCGGUGGCAACCAU